GUAUUCCCAAAUAUUUAUAAAUAAUUCGGUAACAAAACAAAUUAAGUAUAGUGAAAAUUAUAUAAAAUAAGCACCCUAGUGAUGCAAAAAUUCUGGAUUAUUUUAUUUAUACAUAUCUCUGUUUACUAAAAGAACAAUAUAAAUUUAUUUAAUCAUUUAUAAUAUUUAUCUAUAUAAUGUCAUUUAUAUAAAGUAUAAUACAAAAAAAGUUAAAAUAGUACAUUUUGCGAAUUAUAUACAUUUACUACGAUCUGGAUUUGCAUUCGAUAUACGUCGGAAUACUUACAGGUCUUCAGAUGAUUCAAUUAAUUUAAUAAAAUACGGAUUAGUAUUUAGAGUAUAUAUAGUAAUGAAAAUAUAAUUAGAUCUUUUAUUGAUAUUUAUCUGGCAUAAGGAAACAACAGCAGAGAAAUUACUUUCGUCUUAAUUUUAUUUGUUCUAAAAUAUCAGAAAUUUAUUGAUGAGAUAUAUAGUAACAUAUAAAUAUAUAUAUCUAAAUAAUCGAUAAAUGCUUUCGUAGCUUCAUCUCAUCACCGUGACGCAACACCAUUGUAAGAUCAGUCGACUUUUAGAAACAACAAGUAAUAAAGAGCAUAAAACAGCCAUCGAAAUAGAAAUGUGAAUAAUUUUGUUGUGAUGAUAUAACAUUUAAUAUGUUUACAAACGAUUACAUAAUUAUAUCAACACAAUAAAGAAUUAGACAUAUUUUUAACAUGAUGCAUAUUGCUGCAUCUCAAGUUGAAAAUACAUAAAUAUCAUGAAGAUUUUCUCCAUAUACGACGCCCGUUUAAUGCCGUGACCAUAGUUAUUUCCGUAAUGGCGUCAUCCCGUUACAAAAUAUGAAUUUUCUCAAAGAGUAAUGAAUUACAGAUAACUAGAUUAAUAUACAAAUUACGAUUAGAUCAAAAUUAUCAGUUAGACAAAAGAGAUCGAUUUUAUAAUAAGAGAUAACAAUUGUAAAAACAAUCAAUCUUUUAAAAGUUAAAGUGUUUGGCAUGGAGAGGAACAUUAGCAGUCGUAAUGAUACAUUUAUCGUCGCUAGACUAAAAACAGUAUAUGCUAUAAAUCUAAACAAUGUUUACGUGAAAAGCUGUGAGAAUAAUAUUUUUAUGUUUUAAAUUUAUACACGUUAUGAUAAAUUUGUGAAAAUCACCAUACCUUUAAAUUACUUGGAUAAUUAUAAAAUUUCGAAUAAUGUGAUUCAUAAUAAAAUUAGUGCUUUAAAGAUAUAAAAAUAUACUUUCAUUCGGGGGAAAAAGUGUAUAAUACAUUCAAAAAAAACAAUGAUUGCGUAAUUUUCUCAGUACAGAUUUUAUAUAAUUCAUGUUAAAUUAUUACCUAUGCGUGUUAUAUUGUUCGUACGUUUUGUAUGAUGCAUUUUGACGAUUAUAUAUUUAUGCAUAAAAAACCAAGAUUUUUGACAUUCAAUUUAUAUCGAAGAUUCUAACGGUGAUACAAAUCAAACGAACAAUUAUGGAAUUUGAACUAGAAAUCUGAAUAUUUUACACAAAGCUGAUAUUUCCAUAUAUGUAUAUAUAGGCAGCGAAAAACAUGGCAAAAUCUGAUGGUACUGCGCAUCGGUAAUUUCUACUUCGUAAAACACGAAAUUAAAACAAAAAAAAAUUAUAUCAAAUUCUUAGAAUAAACUAAAUACAGAGAUUCUCGAAGAAAAUUGCCAUAUGACACAACGAAGCAUAAUUAUUCAUAAAAGACUUGUGAUAUUUUUAGGUAAAAUCGUUUUACUUCUGGGUACACACGAAACUGAUUCCCAUAUCAACAAUAUCACGAUAUCAGAAUUGUCUCAAAAAGAUCUUUACCUAUAAACGCUGAUAAUUAUUCCAGCGCUUCCUCUGUCGAUGUCAAGGAUAUUGUAUAGAAUUUCCGAAACAUUUCAAGACGUUUUCCUAAGGUGACAUUGUUUCGAUUGUCUCGGCCAUUUUACAUAGCGUACCUUCUAGCUAUAACGAUAUUAAUGUCGCAAUAAAAUGAGUACCCAACAUAUUUCA